rnacentral:rRNA from 1 species
GACGUAGGGUGCAAGCGUUGUCCGGAUUUAUUGGGCGUAAAGAGCUCGUAGGCGGCUUGUUGCGUCGACUGUGAAAACCCGCGGCUUAACUGCGGGCUUGCAGUCAAUACGGGCAGGCUAGAGUUCGGUAGGGGAGACUGGAAUUCCUGGUGUAGCGGUGAAAUGCGUAGAUAUCAGGAGGAACACCGGUGGCGAAGGCGGCUCUCUGGACCACAACUGACGCUGAGGCGCGAAAGCUAGGGGAGCAAACAGG